rnacentral:lncRNA from 1 species
CUCUGGGCAGCCAUUACAAGUCAAGUACUGGCCAUGUCUGUACUGUGAAGCACUGUGCUGGAGGAUGUAGAAAAAUAUAAGGCCUCUUCUGAUACAGGCUCCCACUAUAUGCCUCUGCAGAUGUAGGACAGGCUGUACCAAGAGUUGGUUUUCUCUCAGGAAAAAUGGAUUGGGAUAAUCCAGCACAGCUAUAAUUUUGUUACUAUUUUUAUUGUACCUCAAUGUGAUUUGAAGUAUGAAGGGCAGCGAAUUUGAAUCGUGGGAUUACCAGCUUGAUCCAGAAGUCCUAACCAUUGUCUUACAGGUGCCUGGAAAAUGCUGAUAUAUAGAUGGGGCAAAUACCCAACAGGCUGAUGUCAG